AGCAGCCGCGGUAAUUCCAGCUCCAAUAGCGUAUAUUAAAGUUGUUGCAGUUAAAAAGCUCGUAGUUGAAUUUCGGGAUCAAUUUAUUGGUCGUGCUAUUGUACGUACUGGUAUUAUUGAUUCCUACCUUCUGACGAACCAUGAUGUCAUUAAUUUGGUGUCAUGGGGAAUCAGGACUGUUACUUUGAAAAAUUAGAGUGUUUAAAGCAGGCUCACGCUUGAAUACAUUAGCAUGGAAUAACGAAAUAGGACGUUUGAUUCUAUUUUGUUGGUUUCUAGGAUCGACGUAAUGAUUAAUAGGGAUAGUUGGGGGCAUUAGUAUUCAAUUGUCAGAGGUGAAAUUCUUGGAUUUAUUGAAGACUAACUACUGCGAAAGCAUUUGCCAAGGAUGUUUUCAUUAAUCAAGAACGAAAGUUAGGGGAUCGAAGACGAUCAGAUACCGUCGUAGUCUUAACCAUAAACUAUGCCGACUAGGGAUCGGAUGAUGUUAAUUUUUUAAUGACUCAUUCGGCGCCUUAAC
rnacentral:rRNA from 1 species